ensembl:lncRNA
UGCAGCUGUGGUGAUGAUGGUGGUGAUGAGAGCUGGAGAGGAGAGGACGCUGCUGGCCCAGGGGGUAGAAGGCUGGCCUGGGCCUGUUGCAGGUAAGAAUGGCCAGCUGUGGCUGCUGUUUCUGGGGGAUCAUGUGGUUGAUCGUGCUGCUGGUGAUUGGCUGGCCUCUGAGCAUCUUCCUGGGGGGGCUGUACGGCUUCAUCGCCCCCCUGACGGCAUGUCUGGGAAUCGACCGCCUGGCAGACCUGCUGAUGGAGGGGGCCAACCUGGGACGCACCUGUGCCCAGAACAUGCGUCACGGGAAACCACUGUGCUGAGGAACGCCUGGCGGCUAGUAUAUACUUGUGAUGAAGCUAACCUGGCGCUACACAUGCACACAAAUCUGUGCAGAGCCUCACCUUUUCCAACACACACACACACACACACACACACACACACCUACCUAUCUGACCUGAACCUAACUUCUUCCAGCAGACAUACACACAUACCUAUCUGACCUGAACCUAACUUCUUCAAGCAGACAUACACAUAUACAUUAAAAUACAGCCACAUCUGUGCAGAGUUUGGCCUGUCCCAAACCACACACCAAUACACACACAUACUGAACCUAACCAACCCCAUUACACACACAGCAUGCCUGUCCCAACCCAUACACACACACACACACACACACACUCAUGCUGAACCUAACCGAUGCCAUUACACACAACAUUCCUGUCCCAACCCACACAAACACAUAAGUUUCAUUCCUCCCCACCCCACACUUGUGCAGAAGAAGCUGAGAAUAAACACAGGUCACCUCAGAUGGUUAUGCACUGGAACAAAAUCCUCCAGAAUAUUAUUAA